CACUGACCGUGAUAAUGUAGCGUAAUCAAUAGCCAAUUAAUUGUUGGCCGGUAUGAAUGGCAUCACGAAGGCCCCACUGUCUUAAGAGGACUCUCCAUGAAAUUGAAAUCGUAGUGAAGAUGCUACGUCCAUAUUGUAAGACGAAAAGACCCCAUUGAGCUUUACUAAAGACUUGUAUGGCUCGAAAUAACUUAAAUAAAAAGUUUAGAUAAUGUGGGAUCCGUUUUGGUUAAUGAAACACCACUCUUUUAUUUUAAGAGAGCUAACCUUGUAGGGAGAAUGCAAGUUGGAUAGUUUGGUUGGGGCGACCACCUUUUAAAAGGUAACGAAGGUGAGCUUAAGGUCCGUAGUUAAUAGCUAGUGGCCUGACUGCAAGGGGGACAUCCCGAGCAGACACUGGUAAUCUCUCAGUGGGUUAUAGUGACCCGUCAUCUUAGAGUGGAAUAGUUGACGAUCAACGAAUAAAAG
rnacentral:rRNA from 1 species